CCUUGUCUUAUUCUAAUUCGUCUUCUAGGCACCACUUUCCUCACUGAUAAGAUGAGCGGAUGCAGAUUUACAUCAGAAGAGAUAAGGCCACAGGUGUCAGAGAAACAUUCUCAGAGGCAUAACAUUUAAUUCUCUUGAGCAUUAAAUACCCUUUUAAUACUUUUGUUUACUUAUAAAGGGACAGAAGUAUCUUCCUGACUGAAAUGUCCAUUGUUGCUCCCACAGAUGACAUGGCAAUGCAUAUGACUUCUGCAUUUGGGGAAUACCAGUUCAUACAGGAAACAUGCCUGAUUUUAUUUCCUAUCUCAGCAAGAACAAAGUUAUGGGUGAAGUCUCUGUCACAGAAUGGAAUCUCAGAAAAGGAACUUGUGCACACAUCUGGCACCAUAGCUUUAGAGGCUGCCAUGCAGAGGACACAUCCCUUGAUAGGAGUCAAGAAAAAUGAAGAAACAAAAAAAUAAAUAAAAAUAACAAAAAGAAAAAUGAAGAAACAAGAAUAUGUUCCAAAUGAUGGAAUUUUUUUAAAAAUAAAAAAAUAGACUUUAAUGGAGAUAAAUAAAUC
rnacentral:lncRNA from 1 species